rnacentral:SRP_RNA from 1 species
GCCAGGCAUGGUGGCGCAUGCCUGUAAUCCCAGCUACUCGGGAGGCUGAGGCAGGAGAAUCACUUGAAUCCAGGAGGCGGAGGUUGCAGUGAGCCAAGAUCACGCCACUGUGCUCCAGCCUGGGUGACAGAGGGAGACUCUGUCUCUA